ncrna:unclassified sequences DTF805b RNA
AUAGGGGAAGCCGAAAACCUUUCAGAGUAGGUG